UACGGAGGGUGCAAGCGUUAAUCGGAAUUACUGGGCGUAAAGCGUGCGCAGGCGGUUUGUUAAGUCUGCUGUGAAAUCCCCGAGCUCAACUUGGGAAUUGCAGUGGAUACUGGCAAGCUGGAGUACGGUAGAGGAAGGUGGAAUUCCCGGUGUAGCAGUGAAAUGCGUAGAGAUCGGGAGGAACACCAGUGGCGAAGGCGGCCUUCUGGGCAGUUGCUGACACUGAGGCGCGACAGCGUGGGGAGCAAACAGG
rnacentral:rRNA from 1 species